AAGUCGUAACAAGGUCUCCGUAGGUGAACCUGCGGAGGGAUCAUUACACAAAUAUGAAGGCGGGCUGGAACCUCUCGGGGUUACAGCCUUGCUGAAUUAUUCACCCUUGUCUUUUGCGUACUUCUUGUUUCCUUGGUGGGUUCGCCCACCACUAGGACAAACAUAAACCUUUUGUAAUUGCAAUCAGCGUCAGUAACAAAUUAAUAAUUACAACUUUCAACAACGGAUCUCUUGGUUCUGGCAUCGAUGAAGAACGCAGCGAAAUGCGAUAAGUAGUGUGAAUUGCAGAAUUCAGUGAAUCAUCGAAUCUUUGAACGCACAUUGCGCCCUUUGGUAUUCCAAAGGGCAUGCCUGUUCGAGCGUCAUUUGUACCCUCAAGCUUUGCUUGGUGUUGGGCGUCUUGUCUCUAGCUUUGCUGGAGACUCGCCUUAAAGUAAUUGGCAGCCGGCCUACUGGUUUCGGAGCGCAGCACAAGUCGCACUCUCUAUCAGCAAAGGUCNNGCACCCAUUAAGCCUUUUUUUCAACUNNNGACCUCGGAUCAGGUAGGG
rnacentral:rRNA from 1 species